UUGUUCAAAAAUAGUUUGGCGCGAAUCAGACACGUAUGAACAAAAAUAGUUCCUUUCUUGCAAGCAUAGUACAUGUGAAUCUGGCGUUAAAAGCAUCCCAGCACCUGCCUUGUAGUCAAAGAAUGCUGUUUGUUAAAACAAGGGAUUAUGAUGCGUAUCGACAUGUAAUUAAGCUUCUCGUUUUGAAAAUCGCCCGCUGAAACAAUAGCGCCCAAAGCUCUCUAUAACCCAAACGGCGGUGGAGAAUGCCCAGUCACAACUUAAAUAAACUGAUUGCUGAGCUGGAGGGAAUACGUUUUGAUGAUUACAGUGAACUAGAGUUUUCUGCUAAUUUUCUUUGGAUUAUCAGUUAUCUGAAAGAAUUAGGAACUAUAGAAAGGUUGGUGAAAAGCUUCAUUUCGAGGGACCUCCAGAAAUCCCAAAGGCCAAGCUUGGGCAUUUUUGAAAUUUGGCACUCAACUUCGCAAAAAGAAAUAAAUAUUUCAUCAAGUUGAUACUACGAGGUUUCGUAGCGUAUAGAACUUUUCUAUUGUGCAUUGAUUUUGGCUUCUUUGGUUUUGAUUUAAAUAGGUCGCCUCGAUCACUGCUGUUUUGACACAGUUUGAAUUCGAUCAGUCUUUACGUGUUUGGUCAAGGUGCGAGGUAGGGUUGUGGGAAAGUAUCACUCCUUGCUUGAAUCGAACCGGGUAUUUACUUAUUAUACUUUGAUAAAUUUUAAGACAAAAUAUAACUCUCUGUGGUGUUUGUUUUGUAUUGGAAUUUUGAUCAGAUAACGAAUAUUCCAAUUUGCACAAAAUUUAACGAGCCUGUCUUCGAGCGGUUUGUGGUUUUAGCAUACAUACACUACACAAUCGUCCCGCAACACAUAGAAAAUGAACAAAAUUUACAUCCCUUUAAUUUAGUGACCACUGCAUCUUUUUUAUUUAGAAACUUAAUUUUAGUGACUGGACAAAAGAAUCGCCAAAUUCGCUGUAAUUAGCUGCCACAAAGAAGUAAAGGCAUACUGUCAGGUUUUCUUAGUAGCUACUGAUGCCUAACACUUGGCAUUUCACGUUGUCUAUCCCUAAGCAACGCGGCAUCGUCUUAUACGUGAUAGACCCGCACGUGUUAAAAAACGUUUCAUCAUUUAUUUAUCUACAUUUAACCAUACCACCCACCUUGAUUACUUACGAAAUGACAAACGUUCGCGUUUGUUUACAUUAAACAAGAAAGCUCUCGUCGAAACAGGAUAUAUCUGCGACGGUUUGCACCAGGACUGCCGACUACUCAGAAACGCAGACAAGAAGAAUGAAGUAUGAUGUUGACUAAGGUACAAUAACUUGUAGCGACUUUCAUUUCGUUAUAUCCUGCAUUAGUUUGCAUUCAGCUUUCGUGUGAGGUCAGAUAAUUGUCAAUAUUCUACCUCCUGAGCCAACGGUGAGUGAUGCGCCUCAUGUUAAGCUCUUAUUUUUUGUCUUUCACCUUAAUUGCAUCCGGUUCAUAAGUUGCCCUUGAUUGUAUGAAAGUAGAAAUACUACCCAGCUCUUGUAAUUAAUGGCAAUUUUUAAAGGAAAUAUCAAACUUCUGCAAUGAAACGGCAAUUUUUGAAGAGAUUACUCAGAUUGGCGUCUGCCGUAAUUCAUAGUUGGCCAAUACAAUGUUGGGGAUGAAUAAAUGAUGAAGUUAAAGACCUGCGUGGAUAUGCAAAUGAGGUCAGAUUGUUCUUGUUGGGGAGCGGAAGACAAAAAUCCUCGACUCGAGUUGAAUGUUAACCGAUUUUCUCAGCCUCAGAUUCAGGGCAUUCCUAAUUAUCUACGGUAGAACGGCUUGAGGAAAUCUCAUCAUAUCGGUCAACAUCCUUAACGGAAGAUCUUUCCGAGAGUCAAGAGCAUUCAUAUAAAGGGCCCCUUUUUGGCCUCCAACAAAAUGACGAUUUGCGGAUGUAAGCCAAGUUGGACGCUUAUAUUAUGCAUCUUCGUGGCGCUGUGUUCCAGCACUGUCUACUGC